UGCUGUGCCAGGCACAGGCAAGGCCAGGCCAGGCAGGGGUGAUCUCCUUUUGCAGGGUCUCCUGGGCUGCUUGGAGCUCUGGGACAGGACUUUUCAGAGCACAGACUUUUCACACCACUCCUUAGGACUACUCUGGGCAAUCGUGGGACCCAGCAAUCCGCUUCUUUCUGAGUCCUCCUAACCCAGGGACAGCAAUCCCCGUGGCUAUAACUUACAGAGGGUGGUGGUCCUGCCUUCUAAUUCCUGUGUUUUCAUCUUACAACAGAAAAAAAGAAUGGAAGCUCUCUGCUGCAUCCUCCCUUGGCCAUUCAGAAUUUGCUCUGGUUCCACCACAUCAUUUCUCACCUCACCUGAGGGAUGGUGCCUUGCUGGGAAAAAAAACCUUUUUCACCUUUGCUGAUGGUUCUGCUGACAAGGUCCUGCACCAAACUCUCCGUGAGCUGCUGCCAAGUCAGGCUUUGGUCUGGGAGAAGAGAACCAAGAACAGCACUGGGCUCCUUGCUCCAGCCCCACGAGCGUGGAGAGCCCAUCCAGCAGCACACACAGCCCUGGGCCAGUGCCCCCAGAGCAGGGAGCUUGAACACCACUGAGGCAGCACUGGAGGGACGUCCAACACCCACUGCCAAUUCCCAAGGGAAUCCAAGGGAUCCGGGAGCUGUUGGCCCUUUGCAGAUUAAUCCCACCUCCUGCCUUUCCUGGCAGAUGGAAAAGUGACCACAGCCACCCCCAGAAGUGGUGUCAGAGCAGCUGCUGGGAUCCCUCACAGCCAGGAUCCACUCUGGCAACACUUCAGGAGAAAGAGAACAACUCCCAGGCUCAGAGGCAGCUGUGACACCACUGAGAAUCCUGAGAUCACCCAACUGCUGAAC